AUUGAACGCUGGCGGAAUGCUUUACACAUGCAAGUCGAACGGCAGCACGGACUUCGGUGUGGUGGCGAGUGGCGAACGGGUGAGUAAUAUAUCGGAACGUAUCCAAUAAUGGGGGAUAACUAGUCGAACGAUUGGCUAAUACUGCAUACGCCCUAAGGGGGAAAGCAGGGGAUUUUGGGACCUUGCGUUAAUGGAGCGGCCGAUAUCUGAUUAGCUAGGUGGUGGGGUAAAGGCCCACCAAGGCGACGAUCAGUAGCUGGUCUGAGAGGACGACCAGCCACACUGGGACUGAGACACGGCCCAGACUCCUACGGGAGGCAGCAGUGGGGAAUGUUGGACAAUGGGGGAAACACUGAUCCAGCCAUGCCGCGUGCGGGAAGAAGGCCUUCGGGUUGUAAACCGCUUUUGUCGGGGAAGAAAUCCUUCGAGCUAAUACCUCGGGGGGAUGACGGUACCCGAAGAAUAAGCACCGGCUAACUACGUGCCAGCCGCCGCCGUAA
rnacentral:rRNA from 1 species